GAAAAUUGUCGCAAAAGUCAACCAAAAAAUUUGAAAAUCAGUCCAAAUUUUAAAAUUUUUUGGGCGACUUUUGCGUCAAUUUUC
rnacentral:miRNA from 1 species